GCAAAAUCACCAGUGUUAAAUUUUCAGGGAUGGUGUUAAAUACACAGUGUUGAUGCUGUUUUAACACUAUCUGGUAAUAAAAUAACACUGCCAUUGCUAGGCCAGUGUUAUAUUCACAACAGUGUCAGUGUUAAACAAGGGUGUUAUCAGAUUUCACUCUGAGCGGUGUAAAUCAAGCCACGCCUCCACUAAACAUAUCCUGUCAGGGAUUUUACCGCCAUUUUCUUUCACAGGAGGACUGAAGAGAUCAGGUAAAUCAGUCUCAUAAUAUUCACAUGGUUUAGCUAAAUUAAACUGUUAUUUCUCUGUCUGACUCUACGCAGCCAUAUGCCAAAAAACCUAAAUAAGAUAUUUUUCCCAUUUUAUUUCCCCUUUGUUCGUUAUUUGGUUCAGUUUAAUCAGAGCUACCUUGUGUUACGUUGUUCCCUUGUUAGUUUAGUAUAAAGUUAAACUGCUAGCUAAAAGUUUAAAACCAAGAAGGAUAAUAUUAAGAGGAGAUAUGAACGAAAGAAUUGAACCAUGAUAAAACGCGACAUGCACUACAAAUUGAAGGUAUGAAAUUAAGUUAAAUGAAAGCUCGUUUAUUCACCAUAUGAUGCUCUUUAUGAGGUAAUCAUAUAGGCUAGAUACCGUGAGUUAACGAGGUCGUUUACAUGCACGUGAGUGCACGGAUAUCGGUUAAUUAUUCAAAUUACUAAAAAACACGGAGAAAACCGCAACCGCAACGUCAUGUGUUUUUCUAAGAUGUAUGCAAACAGGGGAAAUAUCGCCAAACCAACAAUUAAUUUGACCAAAACCUCACAAUAUAUCAUCAUUUGUAUGCACAGAUUGGAUGCAUUGUGUGUUGUAAGGUUUUCGUGGCGCUAGAUGUCAGACAGAUGCAAAUGGCAAAUACAUACGAAAGUGUAAAACGUGUAUGGCGAACAUUUGUUUUUCUGUCAUUAUAGAUGCUAGUUUGGUGAAAGUACACACUAAGUGCUUCAAAUCAUUCAGAAGAGAUGCUGUUUUUAGGGCAGUUUAUUAAAGAAGACCUGACAUGGAUGACUUCCAAUGAGAAACAACUGCUAAUACUUAUAUAAAUUCAUUACAGAAGGACCCUACCAGACUAUAUUUGAAUACGGCAUACCCAUGAAUUCUGGAACUGUUAUUCCUUAACCCAGUUUGGAGGAUAAGAGCUUACCAACUAGUUAUAAAUAUGCUGAGGUGAUGUAUUGCAAAAUAGCCAACAUACAACAAUAUGGAUGACCCUCUGUCUGGUCAACAGGAGUUUAAAUAUGGACGGGACAGUUAUGUGGCAGCUCUUCUCUGGCUCAUUCACCUCUUGCCUUCAUUUGUGAAAGGAAGAAAGAAGAAAGAGGGUCAAUGUGCAACUGAAGCUACUGAUUGUGCUAUGUGAUGAGCAUCAAUCCAUGCUUUGAGGGGGAUGAAUCAGCACAGCCCUGCCUGCACUGCGUUGGGAACAGAAGUUGCAUCCAGAAUUUUUGCAUCAUUCUGGACCAAAACGCCAUUCCCUCCAUGAUGAAGACCACUGAUGCAGCCUUCCACUACAUCAUGAGUAAAACAACUACAGAACUAAAUACCAGGUUGGAACGUAUUUAAGAAAAAUGAAACGUCUUUUGAAUUGAAAUGUCUGUUUUGUUAUGGAAAAAUCUUUAGUAUUGUGAAGGAUAAGCAUUUCUGCCUGCCAGUAAGGUAAUUGCAGUGUAUUUUAAUGUUCAAGUUUUGAGUAGGGUGGCUAAUUUUUUUUAAACUCUCAUUUGAUAUAUUAAAGACCUUAUAAUAAGUGGUUUUCAUGUCACUGCGCUGUGGUAUAAGAUAACUUUCAUUAUUCCAUACUGUAUUCUGUAUUCUAAUUGUAGCUGAGGUAUUUAAAUAAGCAGUAUUAAAUGCAAAGUGUUGUGUGUAUCAAUGUAAAUAUUAAAUGUGAUGUACUUUAAUAAAAAGAGGUUUUGCAAUAUUUCUUGUCAUUUGUCUUUUAUAGAAACAACCCAUUAGCAACAAAAGUGGCUAUUAAUCAGUAUUUUA